CUCGAGUAAAUGCGAGUCAAACUAUCUCGUGUGACCUCAAAUGCGACCUAGGAUCCACACAUUUUUAAAUUAUUUAUCAAAAUGACGUUAUCAUAACAAUGUAUUAAUUAAGUGCGUUAUUUUAAUAAAAACAGUCUUGCAUGCAGGGUUGUUCAUACACCAUGAAAAAAACAAUUCUUCUUUGUCUCCUGUCCCAAUUGUUAUUAUUAAAGGCCGCAGAACUGCAACCCGAAGAUCGCCACCAAAUAGCACUCCAGUGCAUUGAUAUAGUUGGAAUUGACCAAAAGGUCG